rnacentral:hammerhead_ribozyme from 1 species
AUCCGGCUGACGAGUCCCAAAUAAGACGAAAGGCGCUUUGUCCUGGAU